rnacentral:rRNA from 1 species
GUGGGGAAUUUUGGACAAUGGGGGAAACCCUGAUCCAGCCAUCCCGCGUGUGCGAUGAAGGCCUUCGGGUUGUAAAGCACUUUUGGCAGGAAAGAAACGUCGCGGGUUAAUACCCCGCGGAACUGACGGUACCUGCAGAAUAAGCACCGGCUAACUACGUGCCAGCAGCCGCGGUAAUACGUAGGGUGCAAGCGUUAAUCGGAAUUACUGGGCGUAAAGCGUGCGCAGGCGGUUCGGAAAGAAAGAUGUGAAAUCCCAGAGCUUAACUUUGGAACUGCAUUUUUAACUACCGGGCUAGAGUGUGUCAGAGGGAGGUGGAAUUCCGCGUGUAGCAGUGAAAUGCGUAGAUAUGCGGAGGAACACCGAUGGCGAAGGCAGCCUCCUGGGAUAACACUGACGCUCAUGCACGAAAGCGUGGGGAGCAAACAGG